AGUCGAGAAUAUAACAGUACAGGAUGGAACUUAGGCCUACUGUUUAAAGACCAUAUGCGCAAUGAUUUCAUUUUCUUGAUCAACAUCAAAAAUCAUGUCAGUUUCAAGUAGCUUAUAUCCUGGAAAACCUGUUACUGGAUGAACUGCCCUUGCUGCGGAAUCUUCAACCAGCAGCAUAGUGCAAAUCUGUCCAACCUCUCUCUACCAGUAAAGAAAUAAGAAAGCGAAGAGUCUGAUCCAUCGUCUCUUGGACAGAACAUGCUGUGUAAUUCAGAAUUCAAACUCAAACAAAACAUCAAGGCGGCUUCAG
rnacentral:misc_RNA from 1 species